AACGAACGCUGGCGGCAUGCCUAACACAUGCAAGUCGAACGAAGCCUUCGGGCUUAGUGGCGCACGGGUGCGUAACGCGUGGGAAUCUGCCCUUGGGUUCGGAAUAACAGUUAGAAAUGACUGCUAAUACCGGAUGAUGUCUUCGGGCCAAAGAUUUAUCGCCCAAGGAUGAGCCCGCGUAGGAUUAGGUAGUUGGUGGGGUAAUGGCCCACCAAGCCGACGAUCCUUAGCUGGUCUGAGAGGAUGAUCAGCCACACUGGGACUGAGACACGGCCCAGACUCCUACGGGAGGCAGCAGUGGGGAAUAUUGGACAAUGGGCGAAAGCCUGAUCCAGCAAUGCCGCGUGAGUGAUGAAGGCCUUAGGGUUGUAAAGCUCUUUUACCAGGGAUGAUAAUGACAGCACCUGGAGAAUAAGCUCCGGCUAACUCCGUGCCAGCAGCCGCGGUAA
rnacentral:rRNA from 1 species